rnacentral:rRNA from 1 species
GAUGAACGCUGGCGGCGUGCCUAAUACAUGCAAGUCGAGCGAAGCGGGGACGGGUGAGUAAGACGGGGACAACCUCCUAUAAGACCCGGAUAACUUGGGGAAACAGGUGGUAAAGUUGAUAUUCAGAGAUGGAUCCGCGAUGCAUUAGCUAGGUGGUAAGGUAAUGGCUACACAAGGCAACGACGCAUAGCCGACCUGAGGGGGUGAUCGGCCACACGGGAACUGAGACACGGCCCAGACUCCGACGGGAGGCAGCAUUAGGGAAUCUUCGGCAAUGGGCGAAAGCCUGACGGAGCAACGCCGCGUGAGUGAUGAAGGUCUUCGGAUCGUAAAACUCUGUUAUUAUGGAAGCGGUACCUAAUCAGAAAGCCACGGCUAACUACGUGCCAGCAGCCGCGGUAAUAC